rnacentral:rRNA from 1 species
GUUGUUGGGUAGGGGAGCGUUCUGUAAGCCUGCGAAGGUGUGCUGUGAGGCAUGCUGGAGGUAUCAGAAGUGCGAAUGCUGACAUAAGUAACGAUAAAGCGGGUGAAAAGCCCGCUCGCCGGAAGACCAAGGGUUCCUGUCCAACGUUAAUCGGGGCAGGGUGAGUCGACCCCUAAGGCGAGGCCGAAAGGCGUAGUCGAUGGGAAACAGGUUAAUAUUCCUGUACUUGGUGUUACUGCGAAGGGGGGACGGAGAAGGCUAUGUUGGCCGGGCGACGGUUGUCCCGGUUUAAGCGUGUAGGCUGGUUUUCCAGGCAAAUCCGGAAAA